GAUAAGGUUAAGUGAAUAAGGGCGCACGGUGGAUGCCUUGGCACUAGGAGCCGAUGAAGGACGGGACUAACACCGAUAUGCUUUGGGGAGCUGUAAGUAAGCUAUGAUCCAGAGAUUUCCGAAUGGGGGAACCCAAUAUCUUUUAUAGGAUAUUACUUUUCAGUGAAUACAUAGCUGAUUAGAGGUAGACGCAGAGAACUGAAACAUCUUAGUACCUGCAGGAAGAGAAAGAAAAUUCGAUUCCCUGAGUAGCGGCGAGCGAAACGGGAAGAGCCCAAACCAACAAGCUUGCUUGUUGGGGUUGUAGGACUCCAAUAUGGUAGUCUGUUAGUAUAGUUGAAGGAUUUGGAAAAUUCCGCUAAAGAGGGUGAAAGCCCCGUAGACGAAAUGCUGACAACACCUAGGAGGAUCCUGAGUACGGCGGAACACGAGAAAUUCCGUCGGAAUCCGCGGGGACCAUCCCGCAAGGCUAAAUACUCCCUAGUGACCGAUAGUGAACCAGUACCGUGAGGGAAAGGUGAAAAGCACCCCGGAAGGGGAGUGAAAUAGAUCCUGAAACCGUGUGCCUACAACAAGUCAAAGCUCGUUAAUGAGUGAUGGCGUGCCU
rnacentral:rRNA from 1 species